UCAAAGGCUCUUUUCAGAGCCCCCCUUCACUGUCACCAAAAGUGAG
rfam:Cricetulus griseus cell line CHO-K1, whole genome shotgun sequence.